CCUCUGCUCCCCAGGGCCUUCCCCACUGGCUUCAGAGGAGUGACUGAGGGCAAGAAGGAAGAGCCAAGAUUCUGUCUACAUGUGAUCGAGAAUGUUAAUUCUCAUAUUGUACAUUGUGCCAUCUCUCCCUGAACUUUAUUGAUGUUUUGAAGCAAAACAACCAUUUACUCCUCUCCUAAAGGUUCCAGUUAAUAAGGUGCGCACAGGCCCCUUAGCAGAGCGCCAGCCAUUUCCAGGGAGGCACAGUGGUAGCAUUUCAGUGCCGUUCUGCUCAGGAAAGACGACCAAACAGCCCUCCUGCCCUCACCUUCGCACACCACACAUCUCAGCUUCAACUCGCCAUCACGGUGGUCCCAGGCACAGUCGCUGCAACAUCAGAAGGGCGGCAUUUCAGCAAGCAUUUGUUUUUGGGGUAGGGGUAGUGGUAAUUACCAGCACAUGAUUAUUUUAUUUUGUCUGAAUUAUUUACAAUGGAAGGAAGCAGUUUGGAGGGAAGGGGAUAUUGGUGAAUGAGUUCAAUCCCACUUGCAUUGAUUCUACCCAGAGGAAGAAGAGCAAGCCUAUUAAGAAGAAAAAUCACUUCCUUUUCUUCCUCUUUCCUCUCCACCCCUAAGUCUUAGAAAUAAAUAAAUAAUGCAAAGAAAAGCCCUGGGUGGCUGCAUGGGAG
rnacentral:lncRNA from 1 species